AUUGAACGCUGGCGGCGUGCUUAACACAUGCAAGUCGUGCGGUAACAGGCGUAGCAAUACGUGCUGACGAGCGGCGAACGGGUGCGUAAUACAUGGGAAUCUGCCUUUUAGUGGGGAAUAACCCGGCGAAAGCCGGGCUAAUGCCGCAUAAGAUCUUCGGAUGAAAGCGGGGGAGUCGUAAGACCUCGCGCUGAAAGAAUGAGCCCAUGCCGGAUUAGCUAG
rnacentral:rRNA from 1 species